ensembl:lncRNA
GGGGAAUUGUUAUGGGAAGCACACUGAUUAAAACCGCCCCACCCUGGCCAGGCACCAUAAUAACCAUUUGCAUGAGUUGUUUAAUGACAGGAGAUCCUGAUAAAAAUUGCGGAACUAAUAAGCCUCCACCAACUGGAAGAGUUUGGGAAAGGUUUAAAGGAGACACCGCCUGUACAUUGUGAGCCACGCGGCAGAGCAGUUCUCCUGGGUUUCCUUACCCUGCUGCUCUCCACCUGGGUGCCCUUUCCCAAUAAAGUCUCUUCCUUUGUCAGCACAUAUGUCUCCUCGGACAAUUCAUUUCCGAGUGUUAGGCAAGAGCCCAGUUUCAGGCCCUGGAAGGGGUCCCUCUUCCUGCAACAAAUGGUGGCUCCGGUGGGAUUCUUCUUCACCAAGACUGACAUCCUGACUACUCGAGGUACUCAGGGGCCAGCUUGCCUGCCAAUGGACCAGACCCAAUGGCUGCAACCAGGACCCUUUUGUCCCUGGUCUCCUCCUGACACGGACAACUGGCCAGAGUGCCCUGACUGUCCCUCCCCCGGUCCUGGACGCAGGAAUCUGGUCGAAGGGCCCUCAGCCUGAGCUGAGGAUUGGAGACUGAUCACCUCCUCUUGGC